CCGGCACAAACCGACACAGCUUUGCGAUCUCGCCAGCAUGCAGAGUCUGAUGUCUUCCCUAUAGAUGAUUCCAGAGCCACUAUUACAAGGUGAGACGCUUUGCGUUGAUUGGUGCUGCUGGACCACACUGGAGGUGCGAGUCCGCCGUGUAAUGGUUUAUGCCAUUACAAAGGAGCUGGCCUCUGUACUCAACUGGACAGGGGAAAAAAAACCAAGGACCAGACAAAGCAAAAAAGGGCAUUUAAAGAGACAGCGCCGUGCAGAUGCAUAUUUGAUGGCCUGGCGCAGCAGGUAGGGGCGAACUCUGUCUGAGUUGGUCUUUGCUCAAGCAGUCCAGAAAUGGCUCAGAUAUGCUCCAGAUCGUACGGGUGGCGCGCAGGAUGCACAUCAUCCAUCCCCAUCCCGGAGUAAAUAAUA